rnacentral:lncRNA from 1 species
AUUUGAAGAUUUUCCUAGUAUUGAGAGAAAGAAUGUUUAACCUUAAAUUUUAGUUGUGAAGAGAGAAGAAAAGCUUAUCAGAAGAGGAGUACAGAAGAGGAGUUGUGGGUUGUGAUCAAAACCCUAACUUUUGGGGGAAAGGGAAAUGCUUCAAACUGAUAGAUGAAAUCACACAAUCAUCGACUUAAACUUCCGUCUGAGCGUCUGGGCUUGAGAAAUUGUGGAGUUGGCUUGAGAAUCGUCGAAUGGAAGAAUGAUUCUCACUGUGAAUCGUAAUGGUUGAGCAUCUGAUGGUUUUAGCAAGAAUGGGGCAAUGAUGGAGGAGAGAGAAGAAAGAGAGAGUUACAGAGGGACUGAAGGAGAAAUUUUUUCAGGAGAUGAAUUUUUAGGGUACAGUUUCAAAGGGAGUGAAAAAAUUGAGAGGGAGCUAGAAGUAAUUAGGGCUAGAGUUUGAGAGGCAGCUGAAGUUUCAGAGAGAGUUCGCGAGGGAGAGUAAAAAUUUUGGGUUAGGGUUGACUCAGACUUUAGGCAUAAG